CCUUCGUCACCAAGAACUAUAGACGACUUGCGGGAAGCGUCUGUGCCACCUCAAAGCCACUCGCCAGGAACUAUCGACGACUUGCGAGAAGUGUCCGUGCCACCUCUCAGUCACUCGCCUACAGCUGCUAGAGAUUCUCCACAAGCUCCUUGGUCGCCAGGAACUAUAGACGACUUGCGGGAAGCGUCUGUGCCACCCCAAAGCCACUCGCCAGGAACUAUCGACGACUUGCGAGAAGUGUCCGUGCCACCUCUCAGUCACUCGCCUACAGCUGCUAGAGAUUCUCCACAAGCUCCUUGGUCGCCAGGAACUAUAGACGACUUGCGGGAAGCGUCUGUGCCACCUCAAAGCCACUCGCCAGGAACUAUCGACGACUUGCGAGAAGUGUCCGUGCCACCUCUCAGUUACUCGCCUACAGCUGCUAGAGAUUCUCCACAAGCUCCUUGGUCGCCAGGAACUAUAGACAACUUGCAAGAAGUGUCCGUGCCAC
rnacentral:lncRNA from 1 species